rnacentral:rRNA from 1 species
UAAUACGAGGGGGGCUAGUGUUGUUCGGAAUCACUGGGCGUAAAGGGAGCGUAGGCGGGAGCCUAAGUUGGGUGUUUAAUUCCGGGGCCCAACCCCGGGCGUGCACUCAAAACUGGGUUUCUUGAAUAGGGGAGAGGUCGGUGGAAUUGGAGGUGUAGCGGUGGAAUGCGUAGAGAUCUCCAAGAACACCCGUUGCGAAGGCGGCCGACUGGACCCAUAUUGACGCUGAGGCUCGAAAGCAUGGGGAGCAAACAGGAUUAGAUACCCUGGUAGUCCAUGCCAUAAACGAUGAAUACUAGGUUUUGGGCCCGUCAACGGUCCAGAGCCGUAGCUAACGCGUUAAGUAUUCCGCCUGGGGAGUACGCUCGCAAGAGUG